rnacentral:rRNA from 1 species
GUGGUAUCCUGUCUGAAUAUGGGGGGACCAUCCUCCAAGGCUAAAUACUCCUGACUGACCGAUAGUGAACCAGUACCGUGAGGGAAAGGCGAAAAGAACCCCGGCGAGGGGAGUGAAAAAGAACCUGAAACCGUGUACGUACAAGCAGUGGGAGCACAGGUUUACCUGUGUGACUGCGUACCUUUUGUAUAAUGGGUCAGCGACUUAUAUUCUGUAGCAAGGUUAACCGAAUAGGGGAGCCGGAGGGAAACCGAGUCUUAAUUGGGCGUUAAGUUGCAGGGUAUAGACCCGAAACCCGGUGAUCUAGCCAUGGGCAGGUUGAAGGUUGGGUAACACUAACUGGAGGACCGAACCGACUAAUGUUGAAAAAUUAGCGGAUGACCUGUGGCUGGGGGUGAAAGGCCAAUCAAACCGGGAGAUAGCUGGUUCUCCCCGAAAGCUAUUUAGGUAGCGCCUCGUGAAUUCAUCUCCGGGGGUAGAGCACUGUUUCGGCUAGGGGGCCAUCCCGGCUUACCAACCCGAUGCAAACUGCGAAUACCGGAGAAUGUUAUCACGGGAGACACACGGCGGGUGCUAACGUCCGUCGUGAAGAGGGAAACAACCCAGACCGCCAGCUAAGGUCCCAAAGUCAUGGUUAAGUGGGAAACGAUGUGGGAAGGCCCAGACAGCCAGGAUGUUGGCUUAGAAGCAGCCAUCAUUUAAAGAAAGCGUAAUAGCUCACUGGUCGAGUCGGCCUGCGCGGAAGAUGUAACGGGGCUAAACCAU